UACAGAGGGGGCAAGCGUUGUUCGGAAUUACUGGGCGUAAAGGGCGCGUAGGUGGCCUUCUAAGUUGAACGUGAAAUCCCUGGGCUCAACCCAGGAACUGCGUCCAAGACUGGGAGGCUUGAAUCCGGGAGAGGGAUGCGGAAUUCCCAGUGUAGAGGUGAAAUUCGUAGAUAUUGGGAAGAACACCGGUGGCGAAGGCAGAUCUCUGGGCCGUAACUGACGCUGAGGAGCGAAAGCAUGGGGAGCGAACAGG
rnacentral:rRNA from 1 species